rnacentral:rRNA from 1 species
AUACGACCAUACCCACUGGAGAACUCGGGAUCCCGUCCGCUCUCCCAUAGAUAAGCCAGUGAGGGCCGGAUUAGUAGUUGGGUCGGUGACGACCAGCGAAUACUUGGUGUUGUAUG